UAAAUUGAUAUGUCCAAGGGAACAUUGCACCAUGAAUGGUAUAAAGUUCUCUAAUUGACUUUCAGUGAUCUUUUCGAGUGCAGUUGGGUAGCCAUUGGCAAAUAAGAGAGGAGAACGAACGGUUGUGGAAAUAAACAAAACAAGAAAGAAGCAUUUUAAAUGGCAGCAUUUUGUCCCUGAAUUUGGACAGGUAGAUGAACAAAGUUAAAAAUAUGUGCACACGUUUUAACAUGGGAAAACCCACAAACCCAAAUAACAUCCAUAAGUACCACAGUUUUUUCGUGUGCUCAACUAUCGAUAAAAUAUAUGAGUUCAGGAAUUAAAGAAGGAAAAAUAUAUUUUUUGUACUAUUAAGGAAAAAUAACCAUUUCACGAUGUAUUCGCCUACGUCAAAUGUGUGAUCUUUCCUCAGUUUGUGGUUUGCAGUUAAAACAGGAUUGAUAGAAAUAAGUUAAGCUAUAACGAAAAUUGGCUACACGUUUGUUGAAUCCUCAUUGCUGUUUAGAAUUUAUAGAGCUUACCAUGAGCUGCCGCUGAAGUUUUAUAUUCAGAGUUGAUAUUCGUCAGCGAUCAUUACAUUAUCAGUAAGAAAGAUAAAUAGUAGACAAAAGCGAACCCUGGGGUACACUUACAUUUAUUUGGUGAACAUAUUGAAUUUAGAAGAGAUUUGUGUAUGGCUUUUUCAUACUUGCAGGGCAGCUGCUUGUGUAAUCAAUUUAUAUUGAAGGUUUUGAAUGAACAAUUGAAUUUAGAUUAGAAACAUUUUUUUAUUCUAAUUGUAUGGUUCAAAAGCACAGUUUGUAAACUAAGGAAGAAGUUCACCGAAAGCUUCCGUAUGUAAAUGCUGGUGUAGAUCUCGUUUAGUGCAGAAAUACUUAAUUUAUUUUACUGAACUAGUCCCUUGAAUUAGUCGAGCCAACCUUUAGCUGUGUCCCCUUGCCAAUUUUACCGGAAAAAAAGUCGAUUCCACUGUAUAGUUUACACAUUAAUUUUUCUUGCGGUAUAUGUAGGUACUACAUGCAUAAUACAGGGUGCCUCCGCCUCAAAUGAGGCACAG